GACUCUGCUCAUUAUAACUGGGCUAUUCCUGCUACAAUGGCGUAUACAACGAGUUGCCAACCUGCGAAGGUGAGCUAAUCUCUUAAAGUACGUCUCAGUUCGGACUGCAGUCUGCAACUCGACUGCACGAAGUCGGAAUCGCUAGUAAUCGCGGAUCAGCACGCCGCGGUGAAUACGUUCCCGGGUCUUGUACACACCGCCCGUCACACCAUGGGAGUUUGUAAUGCCCAAAGCCGGUGGCCUAACCUUCGGGAGGGAGCCGUCUAAGGCAGGACAGAUGACUGGGGUGAAGUCGUAACAAGGUAGCCGUAGGAGAACCUGCGGUUGGAUCACCUCCUAA
rnacentral:rRNA from 1 species